GGCUGGUCUGAUGGUAGCGGGUUAUCAGAACUUAUUAACAUCAGUGUCACUAAAGUGGGUAUACAACUGCCCACUGCUAAAUUUGACUGGCUUAAA
rnacentral:Y_RNA from 1 species